rnacentral:lncRNA from 1 species
GUUGUUUAGUCUUUAGCUUUCUAUGUUAUGUCUGGUGUACUAUUAUUUGUCUUUUUCUUUUUUAGCCAUGGUGUUGGUCAGUUCUAUGAGUUUAUCAAAAAAAUGGUAAUUCUGGAAUCUUUCACCCCUGUGAGUCUUUUAAAAAACUCAAGAAAAGUUAUUGAGAGCAAAGAAAUUAGUAUUUUAUAUAUGACAAUUUACCACAUUAAAG